GACGAACGCUGGCGGCGUGCUUAACACAUGCAAGUCGAACGGUGAAGGGGAGCUUGCUCCCCGGAUCAGUGGCGAACGGGUGAGUAACACGUGGGCAACCUGCCCCAGACUUCGGGAUAACGCUUCGAAAGAGGUGCUAAUACCGGAUACGAACUCCUUGGGCAUCCUGGGAGUUGGAAAGUUUUUCGGUCUGGGAUGGGCCCGCGGCCUAUCAGCUAGUUGGUGAGGUAACGGCUCACCAAGGCGACGACGGGUAGCCGGCCUGAGAGGGCGACCGGCCACACUGGGACUGAGACACGGCCCAGACUCCUACGGGAGGCAGCAGUGGGGAAUAUUGCGCAAUGGGCGAAAGCCUGACGCAGCAACGCCGCGUGAGGGAUGACGGCCUUCGGGUUGUAAACCUCUUUCAGCAGGGAAGAAGCGAAAGUGACGGUACCUGCAGAAGAAGCACCGGCUAACUACGUGCCAGCCGCCGCCGUAAUAC
rnacentral:rRNA from 1 species